GACGAACCGUCCUAACGUUGUUCGGAAUCACUGGGCUUAAAGGGCGCGUAGGCGGCCUUGCAAGUCGGGGGUGAAAUCCCACGGCCUAACCGUGGAAGUGCCUCCGAUACUGCAAGGCUCGAGGGAGGUAGGGGCAGCGGGAACUUCCGGUGGAGCGGUGAAAUGCGUUGAUAUCGGAAGGAACGCCGGUGGCGAAAGCGCGCUGCUGGACCUCUGCUGACGCUGAGGCGCGAAAGCCAGGGGAGCAAACGGG
rnacentral:rRNA from 1 species